CCGAUUCCAAGGAAAUCACCUUUAACUGACAACAGCCUCAGCUGACAGAAGGCAAUGAGGAAGACAAUAAGCAACACGAUGAUAGAGAAAAUCCAUUCCACAAUAGCUACUGAAGCCUUCCAGACAGUUUGUCUUCAAAGAUGCUGUAGAAAGGGAUAUUCUGCUGACAUUGAAAGGCCGGGCCAGACAGAUUUAGAAAUCAUUGCAGUCUCCUCGGAACACCUUCUAAUGACCACGGAAUGUGCUAAAGGUAACUUUGGGUGUAUUAUACGGCUGACAUGAUGAUACGGCUGGCAGCACUCCAUUAAAGAAAGCUUGAUUGUGCCUCUGACUGGCUGCUGUGCUUGAUAUGGGGACCCAAAGGAGGAGGCAGAAACAUGCUCCCUCUCUGAUGUAUCUACUCCCACAGAGUCUUCCAAACCCUCUGAUUUCACUCGGAUCUCUCUGAUGAAUAAUGUAUUUGAACGCUCGGGUUUUCCAGUACUUUCAACAAUGAAGUAUGUGACAUUGUAUGAAAAGGCCACCAGCCAUACUCAUUGUUUCUUUAUGAAGUUCAAGGUCAUUUUGACACUCAACUUUCUUGUUAGGAGAUUGUGUCAGACCUCAGCCGAAUAGCAAUUUAUUCCUACAGCAGAAAGUUCAUUCCAAUACUGUAAACACAGAUAAUU